AGUGCAAUUGCUGGGUUGUGUGGUAAGUGUAUGUUUUGCUUUUUAAGAAACCAUCAUACUAUUUUCCAGAGUAGCUAUACCAUUAUACAUUCCCACCAGCAAU
rnacentral:pre_miRNA from 1 species